UGGCAAUCGACCCUGGACAAAUUGCGAGAAUUUGACCUUGUUCCCUGAAGUUUGUGAGCAUAGAGUAUGAAGUCUGUUCCUUGUCUAGACAUGGGAUUGGCUGGAGCUGCACCUUAGAGCAAAGAGGAGAGCCAAGAUUGUAGUGGGAGUAAGCCACAAUUCUACAGUACUCAGGGUUACUGGGACCCAGUAAGACCUGACCUGGAAUGUAAGAGAGGAAGACUUGAAGAAGAAGAAAGAGUGAAGUUUGGAUAUUAAAGAAGGCUGAACCUGUAUAGUAUCUUUUUUUUGUUUUUUGUUUUUUGUUUGUUUGUUUGUUUGUUUGUUGAGAUGGAGCCUUACUCUGUCACCCAGGCUGGAGUGCAGUGGUGCCAUCUCGGCUCAAUGCAACCUCCAUCUCCUGGGUUCAAACAAUCCUCCUGCCUCAGCCUCCCAAGUAGUUGGGACUACGGGUGUGUGCCAUCAUGCCUGACUAAUUUUUGUAUUUUUAGUAGAGAUGAGGUUCAUUAUGUUGACCAGGCUGGUCUUAAACUCCUGACAUCAAGUGAUCUGCCUGCCUCGGCCUCCCAAAGUGCUGGGAUUACAGGUGUGAGCCACUGUACCUGGUCCCAUGUAGUAUCUUGAAAUAAGAUUAUUACAAAAGUGAAAAGCACUGGAAAAGUUACAGAGUUUGCUCAAGAUAUUGUCUGGGGUCAGGAAAAAGAGAUUGGACAGAGCAAGUCUGAAGCACAAGCACGGCAGAAAAAGAAAAUAAAGCCAUUUCCUGACUGCACUUUAUAGGGUCCUGCCUGAUUAAUAAACAAGCUUUUGUCAGAGUAAAGUUAUCUCUGAAUUGGGACUGCUUAGGGCUUCUUUAACCCUGGAACUGUGCUAAAGGUGCCUUACUGUAGCUGGGAGGUGGCAUCCACUAGUGGGGCUGCCAAUCAAAGGGCCUUGCCUCCCCCAUUGCAAAAGUAGGUGUAUGUGCAGGCUGACCAAUUAGGACAACCUGUUUCCAGGUGACGGUGAUGGGUCUGGAGGUGGGCACAUGACUCAAGCAGGGCCAAGCAGAGUCCUUGUCUGUAGAGGGUUAGGAAUGGCAAAAGUCUUUCUCUUCCUGAGAUCAUGAACUGUAAACAUUAUGCAUACUUGUUGUGUCCAGAAUUGUCUUUCCCUUCACGUGGUAAGAGCUUGCUGGAGAAAGAAGCCAAUUCAGAGAGAAGUGAGUUGAGAGACAGAAACAGAGUCCACCUGAUUCAUGAUUACAUUGAUGGAAAAAAAAAGACUCAGGGAUCUGUUUUCUUUUAAUUUUUUUAUUAUUUAUUUAUUGAGACGGAGUCUCACUUCCCC
rnacentral:lncRNA from 1 species